rnacentral:tRNA from 1 species
GUUGUGGCUCAGUGGUAGAAUGCCUGUCUAGCAUGUUUGAGGCACUGAGUUCGAGUCUCAGCACA